rnacentral:rRNA from 1 species
AUUGAACGCUGGCGGCAGGCCUAACACAUGCAAGUCGAACGAGCGGCGGACGGGUGUGUAAUGUCUGGGAAACCGUCUGAUGGAGGGGGAUAACUACUGGAAACGGUAUCUAAUACCGCAUACCAUCAGAUGUGCCCAGAUGGGAUUAGCUAGUAGGUGGGGUAAUGGCUCACCAAGGCAACGCUCCCUAGCUGGUCUGAGAGGAGGACCAGCCACACUGGAACUGAGACACGGCCCAGACUCCUACGGGAGGCAGCAGUGGGGAAUAUUGGACAAUGGGAGCAAGCCUGAUCCAGCCAUGCCGCGUGUGUGAAGAAGGCCUUCGGGUUGUAAAGCACUUUCAGCAGGGAGGCGGUAUCCGCAGAAGAAGCACCGGCUAACUACGUGCCAGCAGCCGCGGUAAUAC